GAUGAACGCUAGCGGCAGGCUUAAUACAUGCAAGUCGUGGGGCAGCGCAGUGUAGCAAUACAUGGGCGGCGACCGGCAAACGGGUGCGGAACACGUACACAAUCUUCCUUCAAAUGGGGAAUAGCCCAGGGGAAACUUGGAUUAAUACCCCGUAACAUUAUGAAGUGGCAUCACUUAUAAUUAUAGCUCCGGCGUUGGUAGAUGGGUGUGCGGCUGAUUAGGUAGUUGGCGGGGUAACGGCCCACCAAGCCUUCGAUCAGUAACUGGUGUGAGAGCACGACCAGUCACACGGGCACUGAGACACGGGCCCGACUCCUACGGGAGGCAGCAGUAAGGAAUAUUGGGCAAUGGACGCAAGUCUGACCCAGCCAUGCCGCGUGGAGGAUGAAGGUCCUCUGGGAUUGUAAACUUCUUUCUCUGGGCGAAAAAUAGGUNUUCUUACUUCUUGACAGUACCAGAGGAAUAAGCACCGGCUAACUCCGUGCCAGCCGCCGNGGUAAU
rnacentral:rRNA from 1 species